GGGAAGCGCGCGCGCCCAAGUACCGCGCCUCACGCAGCCCCCGCCGCCAUCUUGGAAUCUCCUGCAGCCUCGAAACCCCGCCCACGCGGCCGCCAUUGGACCGUCUCAACUCGCCUCGGCUUCCUCAUUGCACGGAGCUGCUGUCAAUCGAACGCGAGGCGACGGAGAAGGGGGGGAGGGGAGCACCAGGCGGUUCGACGCUCCGGAAGCGGAAAGCCCGCCUUUUCCUGAAUCGGCCCUCGGAAAAGUUCACCCUCUUUGGUUGAGAGGAACGCUAACGACGCCAUCCCAUAGGCCUGUUGCCUGGCUUUCUGUGAAGAAAACAACUGCCAAGUUCGUGUUAGCAUAUACAUUCAAGACUGAUGGAACUGAAAUGCCACCAGCAUCCCCAAUCUGAAUUGCUAAAAUGUGAAGAAGAAAACAGCAGGUAUCCGAGAGCUGUUUGUCAGAGUAUAUGUGGUAACCAGUGUCUGAGCUAAAGUACAGGACUAGGAAAGCAAGCCCUGCUAAGUCCUGAUUAUGGUGUAAAGAGAGGAAGUGGGGCAAUAUUUUAAGCAGAUGGGAGGAGGUAGUAAGGGUGGUAGAUAGAGAGUGGGAAGAUAGCAGGAAAGGAAAGGAAACUAUUUUUGGAAGCAGGAAAAAGACUUACGUGUAAGGCUCCAGAUCUGGUUUUGCAUCUUCUCACCUCAUCAGCAGAAUGACUGUCAUGACAAGAUUUUGAAAUAUAGUUUGUAAGGGUUAGUUCACACAUGCAUGUUGAUUAUUUGGUCUCUCAUCACCUGCUCAGGAUAACACCCAACUUGCAGCAGAAAGAGACUUGUGUUAGAAAAGGUUUUAGAUGAAGCAUGCUAAAAGUUCUGUCUUUGUUGUUUGAGCUGCCUUGGCUCUUUCGACUUCCAGAUUAUCACUUAAUGUUCCAGACAACAAGUGAAGAAAAGUCCAGAAUGAUCUCUUUAGUGCAGAUAUCUCUACACCACAUGUUUGUGCAUAUAUGUCCAUGAAUGCUUUCUGCCAGAAAUGAUCUUUAGUUUGGGACUUUUGGCAACUAACAGUUUGUCUUAGCCUAAUUAGCCUUCUAUUUCUACAAAGUUCCUUAGCAUCAGUAGUAUUAAGUAGUUUCCUGGUUUAUUCAAAUAUAAUUUUUCCCAGUACCACACUUCACUCACAGUUGCCUCCUUUUUUAUAUUUUCUUUCUUUUCAACCUCACAUGUACAUCAAUUUAUCACAAUCCAGCAAAACUUUUUAUGUUCCUCAGCCAUAGAGGCAAAAGGGGGAAAAAUCAAGGACUCUGUGCUGGAGUUCAUGAGGACAUUGGCCAUAACCAAAACAGGACAUGUAGAGAAUCAAAGGUGACUGGAUCUCAAAAGUAGAAACCCGAGCAGAACUAAACAUUGUAGGAGAAUUUGACCUAGCAUGAAGGAAAGAAGCAGGAAAGUAACUGAUCAAACUUUGUGAAGCCAACAGUUUGUUCUUCAGGCAAGCAAAGAGAGAAAUACAUAUGUGAUGAUAAGUGAAAUUAUCUAUGUGUGCAUGUGGCAGGGGUGUCCACUCACACAGUCAGCCUCCAGCCUCCACAAACAGGCAAUAGUUCCCAGUGCUGAGGAACCACCAAGUCACUCCCCGCCAGGACAUUGCAGGUUACAGUGAGAACAACCCAGUGUUCCUUUCUCUCUCCAUUUGCAUGAUCCUGCCCACUGCCUCUGCCUUAACCCUUCCCUACUCUUUCCUAUGGCACAGCAAACAGAGGAAUUGAUCACCAACUGAACAUACUAGAGAGAGAGGUUUGGGGAGAAUUCAUUAUUAUUUAUAGGAGUUGUAGGGACUUGACCAUUUUCUUCUAUAUAUAUAUUAUACUAACUUGGGGACCCAGUGAUGAUUUUGGGAGUUGUAGCUCACCUGAAUCCAGCGAUACUGUGACCUCCACCGACAAUGGACUAGAACCAAACUUGGCACCGAGAAGCCCUAUGACCAACUGAACAUACUGGAGGGGUUUGUGGGAAUGGACCUUUAUUUUGGGAGUUCUAGUUCGCCCUUAUCCAGAAAGCACUGACCCAGGCAAUGUUGGAUCUGGUCCAGACUUGAAGCAGAGACCCAGCAUGGCCAGCUGCAUACAGGCAGGGUUUGGAGGUGAUUCCCCCUCGCUCUAGGAGCCCUGAACCUAGCUGACAUCAGAUCUGGAUCAAACUUGACACACAGACCCAACAUGGCCAACUUUCAAGACUGGUGGGGUUUGGGGUGAUUGGCCCAUGAUUUUGGGAAUUGUAGUUCACCCACAUCCUUAUGUAUUUUCUAAUGGGAAUAUUGAUAAUAAAAAACAACAGGAAAGACUGGCUUUUUCUAACAAAUUCCCAAACUGAUAAGACCUAACAUCCCAAAAUAAACAAAUAACCCAGGCACCGCCUGGUCCCCAAGCUAGUAUAGAACUAAAAUAGACACAUAAUUGGAAGCAGAACUUGGAGAAGUUCCACUAUUUCUUCAAAAACAAGAGCAAGAAUCAAUUGUGGCACAGUCCACAAACUGCUAAUAUAAAAAUGUAAAGUAAAACUGAAGAAGAACACAAGAUCAAUCAUUGUGCUGAAAUACAACCUGAUGAACACCCCUGUAGAAUUUAGGAAUAAUGUAAAAAACAGAUUUGCAUUAUUAUGCCUAAUUGACCAGAACUAGGCACAGAAGUCAGAGUCAUUAUCAUGGAAGAAUGCCAAGAGAUACUUUCCAAAGCCAAAAGGAAAGAGAAGCCUCGAUGGAUGACAGUUGAAAGCGUUAAGGAUAGACAAGAAUGGAAAGCAAAAGGUGAGAAGAUUAAGUUCAGUGACUUGUGUACAGGGAGAAAGAGAAUUAUUAUAAUAAGCCAAUGCAGAAAUUAGAAGACCACAACAGAAAAUAGAGAGCAAGAGACAUCUUCCACAAGAUCCAAGAAAUCAAAUAGAAAAUAAAUAUCGGGGAUUUUAUAAAACCAGAAGUGGAACACAUUGCAUGACUAAGUAGAAAAAAAUUGAAAUUACACUGAAGAACUAUAUAAAAGAGAUGAAAGGAAAACAGAUUCAUUCAGUGAAGAACGUUAGAAGAUGAACCUAUAAUUUUAGUAAGUUAAAUUGAAGCUUCACUCAAAGCACUUGGGGGGCCGGGGCGGGGGGGAGUAAAUCGCCAGAAAGUGAUGAUAUACUAGUAGAGCUGCUUCAAGUUACAGAGAUAGAAUAUACUCUAAUUCUAACUACAAUCUGUCAACAAGUAUGGAAAACAAAACAAUGGCCCACAGAUUAGAAAUGCUCAAUAUAUAUUUCAGUCCCCAAGAAAGGGGACACCAGGGACUGCCUCGACCCCUGGACCAUUGCAAGCAAAAUGAUGCUCAAAACUUUACAACAAUGACAUUAACCAUAUAUAAACUAAGAAAUUCCAGGUGCCCUAGCUGGGUUUAGAAAAGGACAAGUCGCUAGGGAAUAUAUUGCAAACAAAUGUUGAAUCAUUGAGCAACCAAGGAAGAUAAAAAGAAAAACAGCCUGUGCCGUAUAGAUUAUAGCAAUGCCUCUCAUGGUAUAAGUCAUGAAAAACUUGGAAUACUUUUUAAAAAAUGGGAGUGCCAUAACAAUUGAUAGUCCUGAUGCAUAAUCUGUACUCAGGACAAGGGGUUAGAAGAUCAUAUGGAGAAAGAGAAUUAUUUGCAAAGGGUCAGGCAACCCUGCAUUGUAUCACCCUGUCUGUUUAACUUGUACACUGAACAUUUCAUAUUUAAAUCAGGAUUAGAUUUGGAGGAAGGAACAUUAACAAUGUAUGAUUUCAGAUCACACCAGAAUACUAGCAAAAAAUAAUAGCAGACCUGAAAUUAUUGCUAAAGGAAGUUGAGAAAGAAAGUGCCAAAGAAAGUUUACUGUUGGACAUUUAAAAAACAAAAAUAAUGACCACAGGUGAUUUGCAUAAUUUUAAAGUAGACACUGAGGUAGUUACAGUUUUCCUAUAAAAUUGGCUCAGUCAAUCAGAAUGGGGUUUGCAAUCAAGAAAUUGGAAGACGACCUUGGAAGAGCAGCUGAAAAGGAACUAGAUAAAAUCCUGAAGUGUAAAGAUAGAUGAUUUAAUACCAAAGUUAGGAUUAUCCAUGUCAUCAUAAUUCCAAUUUCUAUGUGCAGUAUGUCUGUGAAAUCUGGACAGUGAGGAAAGCUGAGAGAAAGAGAAUCAAUUGAGAUGUAGUGCUGGAGAACCAUUCUACAGAUACUGUGGACUGCUAAUAAGAGACAUAAAUGAAUCCUAGAACAAAUCUAGACUGAACCCUUCCUAGAAGCUAAUAGAAGUAAAUUGAGACAGUCACACUUUGGCCAUAUCAUAAAAAGACACUAGUCUAGAAAAGACAAUAAUAUUUGGUAAAGUAAAAGCAG
ensembl:lncRNA